UCUCUCUCUCUCUCUGGUCUUUUGUGGUAUUUUCCAGAGUUGACAGACUCCAGGCAGGUAUAUUUGCUUGCUUUUGCUUUGUUUGGAAAACCAAGGCACACCCAACAGCACCACCAAGACACCCAAUAGUGCAGACAUUUCUUUGGCUGCAAAUCAAAAUGGGAUAUGUUGUGGUGGUAUCAGUUCCUGUGAUAUUGUUCAUCGUGAUUAUAGCCCUUGCUUUUUACCUCAUUGGUAGGGCAAACGGCCGAAGGGAAGCUGUCUCUGCUCAACAGCAUUUUGGGCCUCCAGUGCCUCCUCCACUACAGGCCCAGGAAAAGUCCGACCAGGUCUGAAAAAUCCUGGGAGUAAAAAUUGUGUGUCUGCUGUUGUAAGAAAAGAAACCGUCAAAUGUGUAUGCAUAAAACAAUUGAUUUCUAUAAUUUUGAAAAAUAAUUAAUUGGGUCCA